CCACCACUAAGCCAGUGGUGAACUCCACAUACGCAUCCUUUGCUGAGGAUACGGUUAACGGAGCGAAAGCGACGUUCAACCUCAAAAGAAGCAGAGGGGGCUUAGUGGUGGGGUGACUGCGUACCUUUUGUAUAAUGGGUCAGCGACUUAUAUUCUGUAGCAAGGUUAACCGAAUAGGGGAGCCGGAGGGAAACCGAGUCUUAACCGGGCGUUAAGUUGCAGGGUAUAGACCCGAAACCCGGUGAUCUAGCCAUGGGCAGGUUGAAGGUUGGGUAACACUAACUGGAGGACCGAACCGACUAAUGUUGAAAAAUUAGCGGAUGACCUGUGGCUGGGGGUGAAAGGCCAAUCAAACCGGGAGAUAGCUGGUUCUCCCCGAAAGCUAUUUAGGUAGCGCCUCGUGAAUUCAUCUCCGGGGGUAGAGCACUGUUUCGGCUAGGGGGUCAUCCCGACUUACCAACCCGAUGCAAACUGCGAAUACCGGAGAAUGUUAUCACGGGAGACACACGGCGGGUGCUAACGUCCGUCGUGAAGAGGGAAACAACCCAGACCGCCAGCUAAGGUCCCAAAGUCAUGGUUAAGUGGGAAACGAUGUGGGAAGGCCCAGACAGCCAGGAUGUUGGCUUAGAAGCAGCCAUCAUUUAAAGAAAGCGUAAUAGCUCACUGGUCGAGUCGGCCUGCGCGGAAGAUGUAACGGGGCUAAACCAUGCACCGAAGCUGCGGCAGCGAACGUAUCACCCAAGACAACUUUACGGAGUUGACGAUUGAUGGAGCGAAGCGACGUCAAAGCGUUCAUUAAAGUCGAGUUGGCUUAGGGAUACGUUCGUUGGGUAGGGGAGCGUUCUGUAAGCCUGUGAAGGUGGCCUGUGAGGGUUGCUGGAGGUAUCAGAAGUGCGAAUGCUGACAUAAGUAACGAUAAAGCGGGUGAAAAGCCCGCUCGCCGGAAGACCAAGGGUUCCUGUCCAACGUUAAUCGGGGCAGGGUGAGUCGACCCCUAAGGCGAGGCCGAAAGGCGUAGUCGAUGGGAAACGGGUUAAUAUUCCCGUACUUGGUGUUACUGCGAAGGGGGGACGGAGAAGGCUAUGUUGGCCGGGCGACGGUUGUCCCGGUUUAAGCGUGUAGGUGUGUGUUCCAGGUAAAUCCGGUUCACUUUAACACUGAGGCGUGAUGACGAGGCACUACGGUGCUGAAGCAACAAAUGCCCUGCUUCCAGGAAAAGCCUCUAAGCAUCAGGUAACAUCAAAUCGUACCCCAAACCGACACAGGUGGUCAGGUAGAGAAUACCAAGGCGCUUGAGAGAACUCGGGUGAAGGAACUAGGCAAAAUGGUGCCGUAACUUCGGGAGAAGGCACGCUGACACGUAGGUGAAGUGAUUUACUCAUGGAGCUGAAGUCAGUCGAAGAUACCAGCUGGCUGCAACUGUUUAUUAAAAACACAGCACUGUGCAAACACGAAAGUGGACGUAUACGGUGUGACGCCUGCCCGGUGCCGGAAGGUUAAUUGAUGGGGUCAGCGCAAGCGAAGCUCCUGAUCGAAGCCCCGGUAAACGGCGGCCGUAACUAUAACGGUCCUAAGGUAGCGAAAUUCCUUGUCGGGUAAGUUCCGACCUGCACGAAUGGCGUAAUGAUGGCCAGGCUGUCUCCACCCGAGACUCAGUGAAAUUGAACUCGCUGUGAAGAUGCAGUGUACCCGCGGCAAGACGGAAAGACCCCGUGAACCUUUACUAUAGCUUGACACUGAACAUUGAGCCUUGAUGUGUAG
rnacentral:rRNA from 1 species